CUUACCCCGUAACUAGGGAUCUUGUUUGUUUCUUGGGUACUUUAGGUGCCAUGGUUGUCAUAUGUUAGGAUUAAAUUAUAUUUAUUCGGAGUGCUAUGUCGAAGUCCAUGGACUUCGGGUUUAGCAUCCCAUACCUCACUGAGUGACUCCCCUGUUACUCACCCCUCUUUCUUCCCCAUUUCAGGUGAGACAGAUGAGUAUAUGAUAUUUGGACGGAUUGGUGCUACUGGGCUUUUAUUCGGAUUUUAUUUGGGCGUAGGGUGAGGGGAGUCGUGUAUAUGGGCUAUAGUGUUAUGAGAUAUUGUUGGUGGCACGCUGUUUUCCAAAUAGGAGGUGACGGGUGUCACAUUUUGGUAUCAGAGCGGGUUUCCGUCCCGGCCUCGACCCGGGAUGGCGAUUAGGGGAUUCGGUUUUGUACGUUAAAAAAAAUAUAAAAUUAUUUAUAUAUAUAUAUAAUAAAAAAAUGUUUGCAAAGUUCUUUUAGUACCAUUCUGUCCAGUAAUUACUAACUCAAUUGUCUCUUUUUUAUGACGAUGAGUAAAAUCAUCGCCAUUCGUCUUUUGGUUAUCAGAGGUCUACUAGAUGUUCAACAGCAGAUGGGUGAUGUCUCAGUUCGUCAUUUUUCUCAGGAGUUAUCAGUUUCUUCGGUCAUGAUUCCGAGAUUAUCCAGGAGUUGAUAUGUGACGUUUUUGCUUCCACCCUACUUCAAGCAAUCAUUCCACGAGUUUUUGUUACUGGAGAUUACAUGGUGUGACGUAUGAGCCAUUGGUUGGCAUGUGUUGUUUUGUGUACGAGUAUAUUGACUAUUUUGGAGGUAUAUUUGGUUUGUGAACUCGUGGAUAUCGCUUUUGAAUUGGGGUGCAGCAGCUUGCGUUGUGUUGAUAUUGGAGUUACACUUGGUUUUGUUUGCCAGUUGUUGGCAUUGUUGAUCGUUUCAGAGGUGUGUCAGUUCGGACAGCUGACAUAGGACAUUGGGAGCUAUUUAUAUACGAGUUGUACCAUUUAUGCAUGGAGGAGUCGAUUUAUUCUGAGAUUCGUCAGAGAUGGAGCUGAGUUUAUGCGAUGUCAUUCUUGAGACGGAUUGUCUGUCAUGACAUCAAGUAGUGUUGAUUUGCCUGAGGGCAAGAGUUCUUAUUCCUGGAUCCGAUGAGAGUUUUUACUGUCUACAUGCUACAUGCUGAGGAGUUACUGGAUAUAUGAGUAAAUGGAUGUUUGGUGACCAUUUCGAUGGUUAAAGACGAUGGACAACAUGAGUUGCAGGAUCUUGGGGGUUAUUGCAUAGUAUAGGGAUGUAUUUGAGGCCUUUGGAAGGGCUGUCACCAGCAAGAGGAGCCGUUUUCUUACGAUCGGGUUGGAGUCAGGGACAUCUCCGAUUUUGCGAUUUUUAUACCGAUUAGCGCCAGUGGAGAUGAUCGAGCUGAAAGGGCAGAUGGAUGAUUUAUCGGAUAUGGAUUUUAUCAGAUCGAGUAUUUCACCAUGGAGACCCCCAGUGUUGUUGCGACAGAGAAGGAAAGGAUUUCAGGCUUCGUAUCGACCACAUAAACUUGAACAUGGUAUCCAUCGUAUUGAUGAGUUGUUGAAUUAGAUGGAGGGAGCUUCACGGUUCUCGAAGGUCGUCCAAGCGUUAUGAUACCAUCAAAUUGCUAUAGCUGAGGAGUACGUACAGAUUGCGAAUUUCCGUAUAGGAGAUGGAUAUUAUGAGUUGUAGUGAUACCUUUUGGCUUAACGAAUGCAUGCUAGCAUUCAUAUAGCUUAUGAAUGACGUUUUCGUGAACACUUGGAUAAGUGCGUGAUUGUAUUCAUCGACGACAUCCUGAUUUAUUCUCGGAGUAGAGGACCAUGCUGAGCAUUUAUGAAUUGUGUUAGGUAAGCUUGGAGAGAAGAAGCUAUUUGCUAGCUGAGUAAGUGUAGUUUCUAGCAAAAGGAAAAAAAAAAAGAAAAAAAAAGGAUUUUGGGUCAUGUAGUUUUCAGAAGCAGGAGUUGCUAGAGAUCCGGAAAAGAUUACUAAACCUUCAGAGUGGUUGAAGCCUAGGAUGUACAGAGAUCUGAAGUGUUACUAUCAUUGGGAUUGUUAAAAAAAAAAAAAAAAAAAGAAAGAUGUAGCUACUUUGUGUCGCCAUGUCAGACUUGUUAAAUAGUCAAAACAGAACAUCAAUUAUUUAUGGGAUUAUUACACAAUCUACUUCUUCCAGAUUGGAAAUGAGAUAUGUUGAUUGUUGCUUUCCUCAUUGAACUAUAGAAGUCAAGUUUCAUAAAUAAUAAUGUAUGAUCGAUCAUGGACCGUCUCGCCAAGUUAAACUCGAAAGGGGAGCCUCAGGACUUGUGCUUAGCUCGUGGGAAAAAAAAAUUGAGGAAAGCAUCUAACGCUGGAAUAGUUCAUGUACAGUAACAUGUAUCACUAAAGAUAUAACUUUAGGAGGCUCUUUAUGGAAGAUCAUUCGCACACAUGCUAGACCAAAGUGGGGAAGCAUUAUGACGUAUAGCAACACAUAGUUUAAGGGACGUUGAAGCAAAUAGAAAUGCUCAAGAAGAACCUAAAGGAAGUUUAUGGCAAAAAAAAAAAAUGCAGUUAAUGCUGGAGAAACUUGGAAGUUAAGUUGGAUAAUUUAAUGUACCUGAAAAUGAAGACAUUUCAGAGAUGAUCUAAGACUCGGGAGCUAAGGAAGCUUAAGCCGAGAUACAUGGGACCGUACCCCAUUGUGGAGCGGAUUGGAGUAGUGGCUUACAGAUUACAAUUAUCAGCUGAGUUGUUAUACUUCCAUGAUGUGUUUCAAGUGCCAGUGUUGAGGAAGGACGUGAGAGAGCUAGACCUCAUUUUGCAGCACUCACCAAGUGAUCUCGAUUAAAAAGAAAAAAAAAAAGAAAUCGUCUCCACGUGGAGAUUGUGGAUCAAUAAGUGAAAGAGGUUCAGUAAUGAUUACCGUGUUGGUCAAAGUUUGUUGAGAGAAUGACAUGAUCCAGUAGGAAUGAUCCAGUAGGACACCUGGACACCUAAAUUCAUAUAAUGAUUGAGGAUCAAUAAUUUUCUUGACCAAAACUCGAGAAGAUGGGUCAAGAUUUGAAUUCGAGGAUGAAUUCUUUAUUAGUGGGGGAGAAUUGUAACGACCCGUUUCACUAGACACAUUGGUUUGGUUUAUAAUUAAUUAUGUUUCAAGAACCAAAGCUGGUUUAGUUUAAUUAUUAUUACUAAACCACCACUCAUCCACCUUUCCUUAAACCUAAUCGUGUUACAUAUAUGUAUAUGUAUCCUCUUUUUCAUUUGGCCGUCAACAUCACAACACAGAGAACGAGAGAUGAGCCAUGAUCUUCUCCUUCAUUAUUGAUUUCUCUCCUCCAUACUGUGUUGGUUUGGAGAUUUAUUUGCACCGCCGCCACUCGUCAUUCAUCUUGAACUCUUGUCCGGAGAACAAUGUGAUCGUCGCAGUUACUGUUUGCAACACCACCGUCGUGAUCAUCUCACCGGAGGAGGGUCUGAGAUCCUUACCGCGCCGGAGCCUUUAUCAACCCUCUUCAUGGCUGUGAUCAUAACCGAGAGAUACGGAGGAGCUAGACACGAUCUACUGCAGCGUUAAACAUCAACCACCACGGUCUUCAUCACCCCAGCGCCAGCCACCACCGAAGGUCAUAGACAUCAUCACCGAAGGUGCAAUCAUGCUAUUAGAAGCCAUCGUUGGUGAUACGGUUGAAGUUAUGAUUUGGAACCGAGAUGUAGACGUGGAGAAGAGACGGAGCCAGCGCAUCAUGACACUUCCGGUGCCGUUCUACACUCUCAUUAAUGGUGAGCCAUCGGAGUUGCAGUUCAUGUCAUCGGAGUCCAAGAUCCGACGUCCCAAGUCAAAGCCGUGAAGGAUGCAAUCAUGCAAUUUUAGUGUUACUUGUAUUUCAAGUAAUUAAUUCUAAAGUUGGACUGAGUUUUGUUGGACGAGAUCGUGGAGCAUUUUUGUGAUUCAUCUCCAAUAUUAGCUAAGGUGAGACAGAUGAGUAUAUGAUAUUUGGACGGAUUGGUGCUACUGGACUUUUAUUCGGAUUUUAUUUGGGCUUAGGGUGAGGGGAGUCGUGUAUAUGGGCUAUGGUGUUAUGAGAUAUUGUUGGUGGCUCUCUGUUCUCCAGAUAGGAGGUGACGGGUGUCACAAAUUUAUUACAAGAUCAUGUGCAAAGGAAGGUUUAAACCAUUAUCUAAUGCAAAAGCCAUCAUAACCCCUCAGUUCCAAGUUGAUCCAAUCAAGCUUCAACAACUCUUUUUUUAAGUCCUCACCAUAACUCCUGAUGGUGGGAAGGAUCAUCCUUCUCACUAUACAAGUGAAAGAAAAGUUAAGCUUUAGACUUUAUCCUUGUAUAAACUUUCUUUUAGCUAUUUCUUCUUUGUUUUAGUUUGUUUUUUUUUUUUUUGUUGGGUACAUCACAGGCCGCUAGCAAGCACUUGGAAAACUCGGAUUAAUUCGGGGGGUACAGCGGUCAGAGCUAGCGGUCAAGCCAAGGCCGCGAGAGAAAUGGAGGUGCAGCGGUGUCUCCUAGCGUUUCUUCAACAGGCCGCUACGCCCGUUCGAAGUAAAUGUUUCACCAGCUCCAUGAGGCACCAUUCUUCAUCCUUAUCAUUGUACAUACCAUUUUUCAUUUGCCUUUGUCUUAUUUUCGGCAUCUUCCUUGACCUUAGUCACACAUAGACUGUGUGAUUUACGAUUAGGGGAGGUACCAAAUGUCUAACAUGUCUUGUGAAUUUUUGUUAAUCUCAAACUAUUGAGUCGGAUUAUUAAUAGAUAAUUGCAUUAGAAAAAAAAAAUUCUGAUUAUUUUUUGAAAAAAAAUCAAAAUAAGCAUUUAGAUCCAUUUCUUGUUUCAUUGCAUCAUUAGAAUCAAGUCUAGAGCAUUUAGAAUUGCAUCAUGCAUAGGGGGGACAAUUAUUAAACCAACCUUCCAAGGAACUCAUGCUAAGAACUCAAUAUGACACCCUUCUUAAUCAUAGUAAGUAGCAUGAGCAUCUUUCAAAUAUUUGUUGACUUCAAACUUUGAAAACUCCUCUUAACAAUCAUUAAGUGUUGAAACUUUAUUGCUCUUGAAAGUAAAUCCAAAUAUUAUUUGAUUUAGUGAACUUUAUCUCUCUUGCUUAUUGGCUUUUGUGUACUUGAUCAUGGUUACCACACACACAUUUGAGUUGGUAUUUUCCCACUUUACCAAUCUUUGGCAACUCAAGUGGCCAUCUCUCUCUCUCUCUUCGAGGGUUACCAUUACCUAAACCAUGACUCUCAUUCAAGCAAUCAUCGGUAUGUUGAGUGAGGCUUCCUUUUGAUAGCUUGAUGUGUGCAUAAUUUUGAGAGUAUUGGGAAUGACAAUGGUAGAUUCUCAUUACUUUCUAGCUAUAAGGUCUCAUAAUUUUCUAGCUUCUAGGAAGGGAAUAGAGCAUUGAGAGUUUGAGUUUGAGCUUGGGAUUGUGAAAAGAAAUGAGAGAAAAAUAGUGAGCUCAAGAGUCUAAAAAGAGAUAAGCCAUUAGGGAUGAAAAGAAAAUAUAGUUCAAAAGAAGAAGUUAUCUCUUAGUGUUAAAAGAAAAGAGAAAACCCCUAAAGAAACGAAAAGAAUGAAUCGCAAGAGUGGCAAAAAAGAAAUAAUGAAAGAUCUAAAGGAAAGAAAAUAGUGAAAGAAUCCCUAGUAAACAAUAAAAAGAAAAAAAGAGUUCAAAUGGUGAGAGAGUAUUCUAGAGUAAUUGAUAUACUGUGGAAUUUACCAGUUUUUAGCCAUAAUAUAAGACAUUUUUAGAGUAUAUUUAUUAUGUUUGGAGUCUAUUUUAGAGUCUUUUCAGGUCCAUGUAUGCUUUGGAGAAAUGUGGAGAUUAAUGAGCAAUUUAGAGCUUAUGGAUGAGGGAACUCGUAGCUAUCCAAGAAAUCAAAGUCAUAGCUAAGAUUUAGUAGACAUGCCCAACUUGUUUUAAGACCGACUUAAGCCCAAAAGACCCACCUAUUACAAGAUUGUCUCUGGCCGGCUUUAUACCUAAUAUAUAUAUAGAUUUUUCCAUUGUUUAAGGCAACACACACCAUCAUAUACCAUCACAAACCACUUUACACCAUAUAUUUUUAGGGAUUUUUACUUAGUAGCUUUUGGAGAGAAGAUCAAGAACUCCUUCGGAGAUUUUGUAUUGAAUUAAACUCCAGUGUUUCUACCUUAUUUUAUUUAUGCAUUCUAUUCAGAUUAUUGAUAUGCUUUGCUUGAUCAUGUCAAAGUAGUUUCUUUUGUUAGAUUUAGGGUUUGUUAGGGUUUAAGAUGAAUUACUGAAACAUAGAACUGCUAGGGUGAAUUAUUAGGAUCUUUCAUCAGAAUUAGCCUUAUUGCUUGUGUUUUAGAGUAUCUAAUUAGAACCCUGAAUUUAGGCUAUUGACAACUGCAAAAAUAGGUUCAUACCUGAUAAUAAUUCUGCUGAGCUUAGACACAUGCAAGAUCUGGUUUAGUUAACCUAGUGACCAUAUCGAUUAGGAGUUUAUUGAUUGUCUAAGGAAGUAUCGAUCGACACUAUGUAAUAUCGAUCGACACUCACUAUGUAGUAUUGAACUUGUUUGCAUGUGAGAGCUGUAACAAAGACACAGCCAACUGAUUAGACUCAUAGCGAGAGUUGGAUAUCUUACUAUUGCAUUCGAGUUCUAGGACGGUUUAUCACACAUCCUUAGAUUCUAUACAUCAUAAUUCUGAUUACCUGAAACCUUAAGUCUAGCUAUUUUAUCAUAUAAGUUCACAAUUAACUGAUUACUUGUUUUCUGCAAUUUACAAUUAUCAUAUUUAUUGUCUAGCUUAAUCUUGAUUUUUAUAGUAUAUUGUGUGCUCACGCUCCCUGUGGAUUUGAUCCCUAAGUACUACAACUGAACCUUUUAUGAGAAAGUUGCUAUAAGGUCAUUUGAGUGAUAUCAGUAAUCACUGAGUCUUUUGGGUGAGGGAAAGAGUGAUUGGCAUUGGAUUUGAAGGGAAAUUUUUUGAUUUGUAUCUAGGAAAUGGGUAUAGCAAUGAGGAUUGAGUAUUGUAUGCAUGAUUUGUUUUCUUUCUUAGAUAUAUUAUGCAUAAUAUUAAGCUCAUAAUUAUUGAGAGUAAACCACCAUCAAAAUAGUAUCAAAACUUUUUUGACACACCAUAGUUUCAAGCCAUUUCUUUACCUAGCCAAAUGAUUAGGACAAUUGCCCAUUUCCAAUAAUUCAUUUAUGAUAUUGUCUAAUGAAUGUGAGAAUUGGUUGAUUGGCUUGUAUGUGGAGGCAUGAUGAUGAAUAUAGAGAAACAAGGAGUUGAGAUAGGCCUUGAGAACUUAAAUUUUGAUGAAGUCUUGCUCUUCCUAUUUGCUAAUAUUAUGUAAGGAUGUCAUAUUGAAGGCUCUGAAGGGUCUAUUUUGGUAAUGAGCUCCCACUUUUAAACCUCUUCUCCUUUUUACUUUGAUAUAUUGUGAUUUUUCAUAGUGUUAGCUUUGCUAUCUCUCUUGUUUUUGGUUCAUUUAGCUUGCAUUUAGUGUCUUUACAUGUGCAUUUGCAUUGUGAAACCUUUGGAGCAGAUACUUAAGCAAAAUGGAUCAUUUGGAGAGAUGAAGUAAGCAAAACGAAGAAUUUAGAGUCGGAGGAGCUUGUAGCGGUCUCUACCUAGACCGCUAGAGAAAACUCAAGAAAAAUACAAGUUAAUCGGGGGGGGGG